AUUGAACGCUGGCGGCAUGCCUUACACAUGCCAGUCGAACGGCAGCACGGGUGCUUGCCCCUGGUGGCGAGUGGCGAACGGGUGAGUAAUACAUCGGAACAUGUCCUGUAGUGGGGGAUAGCCCGGCGAAAGCCGGAUUAAUACCGCAUACGAUCUACGGAUGAAAGCGGGGGACCUUCGGGCCUCGCGCUAUAGGGUUGGCCGAUGGCUGAUUAGCUAGUUGGUGGGGUAAAGGCCUACCAAGGCGACGAUCAGUAGCUGGUCUGAGAGGACGACCAGCCACACUGGGACUGAGACACGGCCCAGACUCCUACGGGAGGCAGUAGUGGGGAAUUUUGGACAAUGGGCGAAAGCCUGAUCCAGCAAUGCCGCGUGUGUGAAGAAGGCCUUCGGGUUGUAAAGCACUUUUGUCCGGAAAGAAAUCCUUGGCCCUAAUACGGUCGGGGGAUGACGGUACCGGAAGAAUAAGCACCGGCUAACUACGUG
rnacentral:rRNA from 1 species